UCGCUAAAGGAUGGACCCGCGGUGCAUUAGCUAGUUGGUAAGGUAACGGCCUACCAAGGCAGUGAUGCAUAGCCGAGUUGAGAGACUGAUCGGCCACAUUGGGACUGAGACACGGCCCAAACUCCUACGGGAGGCAGCAGUAGGGAAUCCUCCACAAUGGACGCAAGUCUGAUGGAGCAACGCCGCGUGAGUGAAGAAGGUUUUCGGAUCGUAAAGCUCUGUUGUUGGUGAAGAAGGAUAGAGGCAGUAACUGGCCUUUAUUUGACGGUAAUCAACCAGAAAGUCACGGCUAACUACGUGCCAGCAGCCGCGGUAAUACGUAGGUGGCAAGCGUUGUCCGGAUUUAUUGGGCGUAAAGCGAGCGCAGGCGGAAGAAUAAGUCUGAUGUGAAAGCCCUCGGCUUAACCGAGGAAUUGCAUCGGANACUGUUUUUCUUGAGUGCAGAAGAGGAGAGUAGAACUCCAUGUGUAGCGGUGGAAUGCGUAGAUAU
rnacentral:rRNA from 1 species